GUGCAGCAGGCGCGAAAACUUUACAAUGUGCGAAAGCACGAUAAGGGAACUCUGAGUGCCUCCUAAGGAGGCUGUUCAGGUGUCUAAAAAGCACCUGGAGUAAGGGCUGGGUAAGACCGGUGCCAGCCGCCGCGGUAACACCGGCAGCCCAGGUGGUAGCCACUUUUAUUGGGUCUAAAGCGUCCGUAGCCGGUUGAGUAAGUUCCUUGGGAAAUUUGGCUGCUCAACAGUCAAGCUUCCAGGGAAUACUGCUCGACUUGGGACUGGGAGAGGUCAGAGGUACUCCGAGGGGUAGGGGUGAAAUCCAUUAAUCCCUGGGGGACCACCGGUAGCGAAGGCGUCUGACCAGACCAGGUCCGACGGUGAGGGACGAAGGCUAGGGUCGCGAACCGGAUUAGA
rnacentral:rRNA from 1 species